rnacentral:rRNA from 1 species
ACUCCUACGGGAGGCAGCAGUGGGGAAUAUUGGACAAUGGGCGAAAGCCUGAUCCAGCCAUGCCGCGUGUGUGAAGAAGGUCUUCGGAUUGUAAAACUCUGUUGUAAGGGAAGAACAAGUACAGUAGUAACUGGCUGUACCUUGACGGUACCUUAUUAGAAAGCCACGGCUAACUACGUGCCAGCAGCCGCGGUAAU